GAUAAACGCUGGCGGCGUGCUUUAAGCAUGCAAGUCGCACGGAUACUCGCAAGAGUGUGAGUGGCAGACGGCUGAGGAAGACGGAAGGAACCUGCCCGUUAGAGGGGGAUAACUCCGCGAAAGCGGGGCUAAGACCGCGUACGCUCGUGUUGGGGAGAACGGCACGAGGAAAGCCGCAAGGCGCUGACGGAGGGGCUUCCGGCCCAUCAGGUAGUUGGUGAGGUAAAGGCCCACCAAGCCGAUGACGGGUCGCUGGUCUAAGAGGAUGAU
rnacentral:rRNA from 1 species